rnacentral:rRNA from 1 species
CUGUGUAGGAUAGACCUCUGAACAGUACGCAACGAACGCGAUCGUAAUCCCUUGUUGAGUGGCCAUCCUGUAAGCUGCUGGAUUAGGAACCCAGUGGUAUUAUCUCAGCCACAGAUUUUCUGGUUGUAAUGGGCCAGUUUUGAAACUCGGGGAACAUCUGUGACUUUCUUUCUUAACGCAGAGGAAGGUUAUGGCAAUAACAGGUCUGUGAUGCCCUUAGAUGUCCAGGGCUGCACACGUACUACAUUGAUCAACUCAGUAGGCGUCGUGUUUUCUCCAAUAACGUAUCUAGUGGACUUGGUGUCGGGUGCGUGGCCUCGGUCGUGUACUUUGAUUACUGUCACUUUAAACACUGGUCGUUAGACUCGUGCAAUCCAAUAGAAGAGGUGACUAAGUUUCCCAGUACCGUGUUCGCCUCCCGUGUCAGUAGGGCCCCUCGCAUAUACCAGUCGAAGUGGGCCCUUUGUGCUUUUUUCAAAUCU